UACGGGGGGAUCAAGCGUUGUUCGGAAUUACUGGGCGUAAAGGGCGCGUAGGCGGCCUACUAAGUCGGACGUGAAAUCCCUCGGCUCAACCGGGGAACUGCGUCCGAUACUGGUGGGCUCGAAUCCGGGAGAGGGAUGUGGAAUUCCAGGUGUAGCGGUGAAAUGCGUAGAUAUCUGGAGGAACACCGGUGGCGAAGGCGGCAUCCUGGACCGGUAUUGACGCUGAUGCGCGAAAGCCAGGGGAGCAAACGGG
rnacentral:rRNA from 1 species